GACGAACGCUGGCGGCGUGCUUAACACAUGCAAGUCGAACGGAAAGGCCCUGCUUUUGUGGGGUGCUCGAGUGGCGAACGGGUGAGUAACACGUGAGUAACCUGCCCUUGACUUUGGGAUAACUUGAGGAAAGUGGGGCUAAUACCGGAUAGGUGCUGCUGCAGCAUGGGGGGGGUUGGAACGUCUCGGCGGUUGGGGGUGGACUCGCGGCUUACCAGCUGGUUGGUGGGGUAGUGGCGUACCAAGCCUUCGACGGGUAGCCGACCUGAGAGGGUGACCACGCACAAUGGGACUGAGAUAGGGACCAGUGUCCUACGGGGGGCAGCAGGGGAGAGUAUUACACAAUGGUCGGAAGCCUGAUGAAGCAGCGCCGCGUGCGGAAUGACGGCCUUCGGGUUGUAAACCGCUUUCGCCUGUGACGAAGCGUGAGUGACGGUAAUAGGUAAAGAAGCACCGGCUAACUACGUG
rnacentral:rRNA from 1 species